GCCCGAAGGUGCUCGGGAAGACGCGCAUACACGCAUGAUCGUACGUAUACCCUUCAAAGGCGGUGAUGUGCACCAAAUCAUGCUCCACGCAUGAGGCUGUGAAUGCGCGUUUUGGGCUGGUCCGUUUCUGCGCGUGUCUGUGGGGGCAUGUAAAGAACCCUUUUGUGCUCUUACUCGCCCUCUCGCCGCCGACCCGACCGCUGCUCUCCACUAACCGCACACCUCCGCUGCCCACUUCAGCUUAGUAUCACAGGGCCCGGGGACCCUACUCUGCGUGUGUGUGUGGGUGGGUGGGAAGCCAAAGCAGCCGUCUCUCCCACCCCCCCCCCCUCUAUCCCCCUGCCCCUGCCGAACCACUUCGGGUGGUGACGGGGGUUCCUGUGCCCACGACGCAGAGAGGCCAGAGCGACCUGCGACAGCGCACACGCUUGUGUCAUCCAUGUGAUGGGCGAAGCUUCCGCGUGACUCGAGCGCAUCCCGCCCGACGCUCACUGCCUACUGGUGUGUGUGCGUGGGGUGGGUGGGUGGGGGCCCUGGGACACCCCCGAGGGGCGCAGCAGGUGGCGACCGGCAGAGAGGGUCUGCGUAGAGUGUGAGGCGGCGGCCGUGCUCAGCUGACUGAGUCGGCGCACUGCUGUGCCGGCGUGUGUCUGCUGCUGCCUCUGCGCACGGCGCGGAUGUGUGGGGCGGGGGUGCAGUGUGGCGUGUGACCGGUGCUGUAUGGCCGAGAACGAAUGCACACGCGUUGGCAGAAAAGGCAACCUGUGCUCGUGUGCCCAUUGCCGUUACCGUUAUACAACGGCCUCACUGCUUAAGAGAGCUCGGUGUUCUGGAGACUCUGUGAUGAUGCGUGUUGCGGUUUUCCCUUUUUUUGUCGUUUGCCCUCAACUCUGCAGUGUGUGUGUGUGUAAGCGAGAGCCGUUUAGGUGGAGGUGGUGACACGCAUGCGCAGGACUUGUCUCCUUUUCUUUCUUAGCGCGCAUGCGUCUGUGUUUUACGUGUGAGUAAGUGCGUGCGCGUGCGCGUCGCCUCAAGCACGCCCCCUCUUUUGUGGUUUGUCUCGUGCGUGUUCGUGGUCGAGGUGGCUCUGCUCUCUCGGCCUCUCAUGACCACCUCUCCCCUCUCCCUCUCUCUCAUCGUUGCCACGUCCGUGCGUGUCUCUCGUUUCCCUCCGCUGCCCAUCUAGCUAUAUAUGACGGUGAAGGCGUUACUUGGAAAGUGAAUGCUGAUGACUAAUUCGAGCUCGCUCGCUCUCUCUUCCCCUUACCUUCUCCUUUUGCUAAACCGACACGCAAGUGCACCCGCUCCUGCGGACAUGCAUGCCUUCCACAUGCCCACCUCUCCCUCCCCUGUGUGUAUGCACGUGUGUGUGUGUGCGCACCUGUCUGUGUGUGUGCUGUGCUGUUGCCUAACCCCUAUCGUCCUCUGCUCUUUCCUCUCUCCUUGCUCGCCGCGUGGUGCCAUGCGCGUGCGUGCGUGCCACGGGUGUGUGUGUGGGGGGGGGGUGGUAGCGGAGCUGGUGUUUUGGCAGCUGAAUCAGUUUCCUUAGCGGUUGGCUGGUUGCUUUUUUUUCCGUGCCGUUUCGCGCGCUGCGGUGAUGUCGUUCGCCUUCCGUCGUCCACCCGCUUCGAUCAUUGCCUACCUCGUGUGGUGCUCUCUUUUCGUGUCUCCGAGAGAGUUGUUGUCUGCAUGGUGCACACAGGCACACAAGCAGGCACAGGAAGCAAAAAUGAAUGCGGAUUGUGUUGAGGGAAGGGGGCGAAGGCAGUAGGGAGAGAAG
rnacentral:misc_RNA from 1 species